AUACGUAGGUGGCGAGCGUUGUCCGGAAUUACUGGGCGUAAAGGAUGCGUAGGUGGAUAUUUAAGUGGGAUGUGAAAUCCCCGGGCUCAACCCGGGAACUGCAUUCCAAACUGGGUAUCUAGAGUGCAGGAGAGGAAAGCGGAAUUCCUAGUGUAGCGGUGAAAUGCGUAGAUAUUAGGCGGAACACCAGUGGCGAAGGCGGCUUUUUGGACUGUAACUGACACUGAGGCAUGAAAGCGUGGGUAGCAAACAGGAUUAGAUACCCUGGUAUUCCACGCCGUAAACGAUGGGUACUAGGUGUAGGAGGUAUCGACCCCUUCUGUGCCGUCGUUAACACAAUAAGUACCCCGCCUGGGGAGUACGGUCGCAAGACUAAAACUCAAAUGAAUUGACGGGG
rnacentral:rRNA from 1 species